AUUGAACGCUGGCGGCAUGCCUUACACAUGCAAGUCGAACGGUAACGCGGGGCAACCUGGCGACGAGUGGCGAACGGGUGAGUAAAGCAUCGGAACGUGCCCAGUAGUGGGGGAUAGCCCGGCGAAAGCCGGAUUAAUACCGCAUACGACCUACGGGUGAAAGGGGGGGAUCGCAAGACCUCUCGCUAUUGGAGCGGCCGAUGUCAGAUUAGGUAGUUGGUGGGGUAAAGGCCUACCAAGCCGACGAUCUGUAGCUGGUCUGAGAGGACGACCAGCCACACUGGGACUGAGACACGGCCCAGACUCCUACGGGAGGCAGCAGUGGGGAAUUUUGGACAAUGGGCGCAAGCCUGAUCCGCCAUGCCGCGUGCGGGAAGAAGGCCUGGUGUAACGCUUGUC
rnacentral:rRNA from 1 species